AUAGCUCAGUGGUACAGCAUGUGCUUGACAUGCACGAGGUCCUGGGUUCAAUUCCCAGU
rnacentral:tRNA from 1 species